UGGGUCGAAAACGGUAGACGAGCCGUCGCUACUCGUGCUAUAUUUUCUGACCGAUUUAUUAGAGUGUCGUCCGGAAGACAGAAGUCUCUUCUUGCAUUUGCCCUCUUCUCUCUGAUUCUCUGGUUUUAGUUUUCUCCCGAGUCGCAGACAUGGUGGAACCGGUUGAAUUACCGAGUCGUCUGGCGAUUCUUCCUUUCAGGAAUAAGGUGUUGUUGCCUGGUGCUAUUAUUCGAAUUCGAUGUACUUCACCUAGCAGUGUUAAAUUGGUGGAGCAGGAGCUGUGGCAGAGAGAAGAGAAGGGGUUAAUUGGGGUUCUUCCUGUUCGAGAUGCUGCUGAGACUACGUCAGUGGGUUCUAUUUUAUCUCCAGGUGUUGGAACCGAAUCCGGGGAUCAAGGUGUGAAAGAGCCAGUUUCCACUUCAGAUUCUCAUAAGCAGGAUAGCAAAAAUCAGCAGGAACUAAUUCACUGGCAUACAAGAGGAGUUGCUGCUAGGGCUCUACAUCUCUCAAGAGGAGUGGAGAAACCAAGUGGGAGGGUCACAUAUGUAGUUGUCCUUGAAGGUUUGUGCAGGUUCAGUGUACAAGAACUUAGUGCAAGAGGAACAUACUACACUGCCAGGAUAUCUCGUCUUGAUAUCACGAAGGCUGAAAUGGAGCAAGCAGAGCAAGAUCCUGAUCUUAUAGCACUCUCUCGUCAAUUCAAAGCCACUGCGAUGGAACUGAUAUCUGUUCUUGAGCAGAAGCAAAAAACUGUUGGAAGGACAAAGGCUCUUCUGGAGACACUUCCAGUUCACAGGCUUGCUGAUAUAUUUGUUGCCAGUUUUGAAAUAAGCUUUGAGGAACAGCUAUCUAUGUUGGAUUCAGUUGAUUUGAAAGUAAGGCUUUCAAAAGCAAUGGAGUUGGUUGACAGGCAUUUACAGUCAAUUCGUGUAGCAGAGAAGAUAACACAAAAGGUCGAAGGACAGUUGUCAAAAUCACAGAAAGAGUUUCUUCUGCGCCAGCAGAUGAGGGCAAUAAAAGAGGAGCUUGGUGACAAUGAUGAUGACGAGGAUGAUAUUGCUUCCCUGGAAAGAAAAAUGCAGAGUGCAGGAAUGCCUCCAAGUGUCUGGAAACAAGCUCAAAGAGAAUUGAGGCGUUUGAGGAAAAUGCAACCUCAGCAACCCGGAUAUAGUAGUUCACGUGUUUACCUUGAGCUUCUUGCUGAUCUGCCUUGGCAGAAAAUCAGUGAAGGACGUGAACUAGACUUAAGAGCUGCAAAAGAGCGCCUUGACAGCGACCAUUAUGGUUUAGUCAAAGUGAAGCAACGAAUUAUUGAAUAUCUAGCUGUUCGCAAGCUUAAACCAGAUGCCAGAGGCCCAGUUUUGUGUUUUGUGGGCCCCCCUGGUGUUGGCAAGACAUCUUUGGCCUUAUCUAUUGCUGCAGCUCUAGACAGAAAAUUUGUGCGGAUAUCUCUUGGCGGUGUCAAGGAUGAAGCUGAUAUUAGAGGGCAUCGAAGGACAUAUAUAGGAAGCAUGCCAGGGCGUCUUAUUGAGGGACUAAAGAGGGUAGGUGUAAGCAAUCCUGUUAUGCUGCUAGAUGAGAUUGACAAAACUGGUUCUGAUGUCCGUGGAGAUCCAGCUUCUGCACUGCUGGAAGUUCUUGAUCCAGAGCAGAACAAAACCUUCAAUGAUCACUAUUUAAAUGUUCCAUUUGACCUUUCAAAGGUGAUAUUUGUUGCAACUGCAAACAGGAUCCAGCCCAUCCCUCCACCACUCUUAGAUCGAAUGGAGGUCAUUGAGCUGCCUGGAUAUACACCUGAAGAAAAGCUAAGGAUAGCCAUGCGGUAUUUAAUUCCAAGAGUGCUUGAUCAGCAUGGAUUGAGUUCUCAGUACCUCCAAAUUCCUGAGUCUAUGGUGAAACUUGUAAUUCAGAGAUACACUAGAGAAGCUGGUGUGCGAAAUCUAGAGAGGAACUUAGCUGCAUUGGCUCGUGCAGCUGUGGUUAGAGUUGCUGAGCAAGAACAUGCAGUACCACUUAGCAAAGAUGUACAACAGAUAGCUGCACCAAUGCUGGAUGCUAGGCUUGUAGAGGGAGCUGAAGUAGAAAUGGAAGUUAUGCCAAUGGGUGUUAACAAUCAUGAGAUAUCAAAUACUUUCCAGAAUACUUUUACUAUGGUGGUGGAUGAAGCUAUGCUGGAAAAAGUUCUUGGGCCUCCAAGGUUUGAUGACAGAGAGACUGCAGAACGAGUUGCAACUCCUGGAGUAUCAGUUGGGCUUGUUUGGACCUCCUUUGGUGGGGAGGUUCAGUUUGUUGAAGCCACAACUAUGGCAGGAAAGGGUGAUUUGCAUCUUACUGGGCAACUUGGUGAUGUUAUCAAAGAAUCAGCACAGAUAGCACUAACAUGGGUAAGAGCAAGGGCAGCAUAUCUUAAGUUGGCAGCUGGUGGGGAAAUCAAUUUGAUGGAGGGACGAGAUAUUCAUAUACAUUUUCCUGCUGGUGCUGUACCAAAGGAUGGACCCUCAGCUGGUGUGACCCUGGUAACAGCACUGGUGUCACUCUUCAGUCAAAAAAGAGUAAGAGCAGACACAGCAAUGACAGGAGAGAUGACACUGCGGGGUCUGGUAUUACCAGUUGGUGGCAUCAAAGAUAAGGUAUUGGCUGCACACCGUUAUGGUAUCAAAAGGGUUAUUCUUCCGGAGAGGAACUUGAAAGACUUGGCUGAAGUACCAUCAGCUGUUCUUUCUAGCUUGGAGAUAUUGUUUGCAAAGCGGAUGGAAGAUGUAUUGGAACAGGCAUUUGAAGGUGGAUGCCCGUGGAGACAAAAUGCAAAAUUAUGAUAAUUUAUGAAUGCUUGCUAACAUUGCCAUUAUUGAGUCAUUUACUCAGCAACAGCUGGACUGGCUUGCAGACUGGGUUGAUUUAGAAAAUCCGUUGAUCACAGAUGAACAAACCAUUAUUUGAGAAGACUCAACCUGGUCGGGAAGGAGCUAGUCAUUCAUGUCAACCCAAUUUUCAAUGUAUCGUCGAUAUUUAUAAGAGAGCGCAGCCAAUGUAGCAUUCAAGUGGUACGUUUACCUUCUUCAACUCUUCUUGCAUAAUGGAUUAUGGCGAUAAUCACGUGGGUGGAUGGAUUAGCUGGUUGUACUACCUUGGAUGGAUUAGAUGGAUUACAAGGCUGGUAUCUGCCAUUUCACAAUGAAGGACCCCCUAUUCCUUUUUCUCCCUUAUGAUCCGGUCCAUUUUGGCGCCGGGGGGUGGGGGGCUGGUGGAAGAGUCCAUUCCAUCUGGAGAAUAGGUCCAAUUUGGAAGUUGUCCUUGGAACUUGGAAGAAUAUGGACUCUGACCUAUCUGGCUGAUUUUUUUGGUGGUUCUUUUCUUGGUGUUUGAGUCUCUGUUGUAGGUUGUAGUUUGUUGUUUACUCAGUGUCUGGUUCUGUGGUUUGGUUGUUUAGUUGGCCUUGGUCGUGUUCUUUGGUCUUGGUCAUUUUUACCCUCUUCUCUCCAUCAUGUCUUCAAUCUCUUUCUUUCUCUUCUUGAGAAACAAAAUGGGGAAUAAUCAAUUUUGAUUAAUUUUUACCAA